UUUAGUAGAUAAAGACGGAGGUAUUCGGGGAGGACAGGUGGUGCAUGGUUGUCGUCAGCUCGUGUCGUGAGAUGUUGGGCUAAGUCCCGCAACGAGCGCAACCCUACUUGCUAGUUACCAUCAUUAAGUUGGGGACGUCUAGCGAGACUGCCAGUGAUAAACUGGAGGAAGGUGGGGAUGACGUCAAAUCAUCAUGCCCCUUAUGACCUGGGCUACAAACGUGAUACAAUGGCUGGAACAAAGGGAUGCGAAGCAGUGAUGUGGAGCGAAACCCAUAAAAACAGUCUCAGUUCGGAUUGAAGUCUGCAACUCGACUUCAUGAAGUCGGAAUCGCUAGUAAUCGCGGAUCAGAACGCCGCGGUGAAUACGUUCUCGGGGUUU
rnacentral:rRNA from 1 species